AGAGUUUGAUCCUGGCUCAGGAUGAACGCUAGCGAUAGGCCUAACACAUGCAAGUCGAGGGGCAGCACAUGAAGUAGCAAUACGGAUGGUGGCGACCGGCGCACGGGUGAGUAACGCGUAUGCAACCUGCCUACAACAGGGGAAUAACCCGUUGAAAGACGGACUAAUACCCCAUAACACAGGGAUCCCGCAUGGGAAUAUUUGUUAAAGAUUUAUCGGUUGUAGAUGGGCAUGCGUUCCAUUAGCUUGUUGGUGAGGUAACGGCUCACCAAGGCAACGAUGGAUAGGGGAACUGAGAGGUUUAUCCCCCACACUGGUACUGAGACACGGACCAGACUCCUACGGGAGGCAGCAGUGAGGAAUAUUGGUCAAUGGACGCAAGUCUGAACCAGCCACGUCGCGUGAAGGAAGACGGCCCUACGGGUUGUAAACUUCUUUUGUAAGGGAAUAAAGUGUAGUACGUGUACUAUUUUGCAUGUACCUUACGAAUAAGGAUCGGCUAACUCCGUGCCAGCAGCCGCGGUAAUACGGAGGAUCCGAGCGUUAUCCGGAUUUAUUGGGUUUAAAGGGUGCGCAGGCGGGAGAUUAAGUCGGCGGUGAAACUUUGCAGCUCAACUGUAAAAGUGCCUUCGAAACUGGUUUCCUUGAGUGUGGAUGAAGUAGGCGGAAUUUGUGGUGUAGCGGUGAAAUGCAUAGAUAUCACGAGGAACUCCGAUUGCGCAGGCAGCUUACUAAACCAUAACUGACGCUCAGGCACGAAGGCGUGGGGAUCAAACAGGAUUAGAUACCCUGGUAGUC
rnacentral:rRNA from 1 species